rnacentral:rRNA from 1 species
CAGUCGCCACGGUAAAACGUAGGGUGCAAGCGUUAAUCGGAAUUACUGGGCGUAAAGCGUGCGCGGGCGGUUUGUUAAGACAGAUGUGAAAUCCCCGGGCUCAACCUGGGAACUGCAUUUGUGACUGGCAAGCUAGAGUAUGGCAGAGGGGGGUGGAAUUCCGCGUGUAGCAGUGAAAUGCGUAGAUAUGCGGAGGAACACCGAUGGCGAAGGCAGCCCCCUGGGCCAAUACUGACGCUCAUGUGCGAAAGCGUGGGGAGCAAACAGGAUUAGAUACCCCAGUAGUCCCUGUCUCUUAUAC